rnacentral:rRNA from 1 species
CAGUCGCCGCGGUAAAACGUAGGGUGCAAGCGUUAAUCGGAAUUACUGGGCGUAAAGCGUGCGCAGGCGGUUCUAUAAGACAGAUGUGAAAUCCCCGGCCUCAACCUGGGAACUGCAUUUGUGACUGUAGAGCUGGAGUGCGGCAGAGGGGGAUGGAAUUCCGCGUGUAGCAGUGAAAUGCGUAGAUAUGCGGAGGAACACCAACAGCGAAAGCACUCUGCUGGGACGACACUGACACUAAGAGACGAAAGCUAGGGGAGCGAAUGGGAUUAGAUACCCCGGUAGUCCCUGUCUCUUAUAC